GAAGAACCUUACCUGGGCUUGACAUGUAAUGAACAACAUGUGAAAGCAUGCGACUCUUCGGAGGCGUUACACAGGUGCUGCAUGGCCGUCGUCAGCUCGUGUCGUGAGAUGUUUGGUUAAGUCCAGCAACGAGCGCAACCCCUGUUGCCAGUUACCAGCACGUGAAGGUGGGGACUCUGGCGAGACUGCCCAGAUCAACUGGGAGGAAGGUGGGGACGACGUCAGGUCAGUAUGGCCCUUAUGCCCAGGGCUGCACACGUACUACAAUGCCCAGUACAGAGGGGGCCGAAGCCGCGAGGCGGAGGAAAUCCUAAAACUGGGCCCAGUUCGGACUGUAGGCUGCAACCCGCCUACACGAAGCCGAAUCGCUAGUAUGCGCAUCAGUUCGCGCCGGUAU
rnacentral:rRNA from 1 species